UGCACAUGCUGUGAGCUCGAUGAGUAGGGCGGGACACGUGGUAUCCUGUCUGAAUAUGGGGGGACCAUCCUCCAAGGCUAAAUACUCCUGACUGACCGAUAGUGAACCAGUACCGUGAGGGAAAGGCGAAAAGAACCCCGGCGAGGGGAGUGAAAAAGAACCUGAAACCGUGUACGUACAAGCAGUGGGAGCACGCUUAGGCGUGUGACUGCGUACCUUUUGUAUAAUGGGUCAGCGACUUAUAUUCUGUAGCAAGGUUAACCGAAUAGGGGAGCCGAAGGGAAACCGAGUCUUAACUGGGCGUUAAGUUGCAGGGUAUAGACCCGAAACCCGGUGAUCUAGCCAUGGGCAGGUUGAAGGUUGGGUAACACUAACUGGAGGACCGAACCGACUAAUGUUGAAAAAUUAGCGGAUGACUUGUGGCUGGGGGUGAAAGGCCAAUCAAACCGGGAGAUAGCUGGUUCUCCCCGAAAGCUAUUUAGGUAGCGCCUCGUGAAUUCAUCUCCGGGGGUAGAGCACUGUUUCGGCAAGGGGGUCAUCCCGACUUACCAACCCGAUGCAAACUGCGAAUACCGGAGAAUGUUAUCACGGGAGACACACGGCGGGUGCUAACGUCCGUCGUGAAGAGGGAAACAACCCAGACCGCCAGCUAAGGUCCCAAAGUCAUGGUUAAGUGGGAAACGAUGUGGGAAGGCCCAGACAGCCAGGAUGUUGGCUUAGAAGCAGCCAUCAUUUAAAGAAAGCGUAAUAGCUCACUGGUCGAGUCGGCCUGCGCGGAAGAUGUAACGGGGCUAAACCAUGCACCGAAGCUGCGGCAGCGACGCUGAUGCGUUGUUGGGUAGGGGAGCGUUCUGUAAGCCUGCGAAGGUGUGCUGUGAGGCAUGCUGGAGGUAUCAGAAGUGCGAAUGCUGACAUAAGUAACGAUAAAGCGGGUGAAAAGCCCGCUCGCCGGAAGACCAAGGGUUCCUGUCCAACGUUAAUCGGGGCAGGGUGAGUCGACCCCUAAGGCGAGGCCGAAAGGCGUAGUCGAUGGGAAACAGGUUAAUAUUCCUGUACUUGGUGUUACUGCGAAGGGGGGACGGAGAAGGCUAUGUUGGCCGGGCGACGGUUGUCCCGGUUUAAGCGUGUAGGCUGGUUUUCCAGGCAAAUCCGGAAAAUCAAGGCUGAGGCGUGAUGACGAGGCACUGCGGUGCUGAAGCAACAAAUGCCCUGCUUCCAGGAAAAGCCUCUAAGCAUCAGGUAACAUCAAAUCGUACCCCAAACCGACACAGGUGGUCAGGUAGAGAAUACCAAGGCGCUUGAGAGAACUCGGGUGAAGGAACUAGGCAAAAUGGUGCCGUAACUUCGGGAGAAGGCACGCUGAUAUGUAGGUGAAGUCCCUCGCGGAUGGAGCUGAAAUCAGUCGAAGAUACCAGCUGGCUGCAACUGUUUAUUAAAAACACAGCACUGUGCAAACACGAAAGUGGACGUAUACGGUGUGACGCCUGCCCGGUGCCGGAAGGUUAAUUGAUGGGGUUAGCGCAAGCGAAGCUCUUGAUCGAAGCCCCGGUAAACGGCGGCCGUAACUAUAACGGUCCUAAGGUAGCGAAAUUCCUUGUCGGGUAAGUUCCGACCUGCACGAAUGGCGUAAUGAUGGCCAGGCUGUCUCCACCCGAGACUCAGUGAAAUUGAACUCGCUGUGAAGAUGCAGUGUACCCGCGGCAAGACGGAAAGACCCCGUGAACCUUUACUAUAGCUUGACACUGAACAUUGAGCCUUGAUGUGUAGGAUAGGUGGGAGGCUU
rnacentral:rRNA from 1 species